rnacentral:tRNA from 1 species
GCGCCCGUAGCCCAAUUGGAUAGAGCGGCGGAUUCCGGUUCCGCAGGUUGUGCGUUCGAAUCGCGCCGGGCGCG